rnacentral:tRNA from 1 species
CGCGGGAAGGAUGUUGGUUUCCAGCAUGGGCUCAUAUCCCAUUGCCAACGGCAGUUCGAUUCUGCCUCCCGCUACCA